rnacentral:rRNA from 1 species
CCUACGGGAGGCAGCAGUGAGGAAUAUUGGUCAAUGGGCUUACGCCUGAACCAGCCAAGUCGCGUGAGGGAAGACUGCCCUAUGGGUUGUAAACCUCUUUUGUCAGGGAGCAAUUGGCGCUACGUGUAGCGUUAUCGAGAGUACCUGAAGAAAAAGCAUCGGCUAACUCCGUGCCAGCAGCCGCGGUAAUACGGAGGAUGCGAGCGUUAUCCGGAUUUAUUGGGUUUAAAGGGUGCGUAGGCGGAAUGCCAAGUCAGCGGUAAAAUCGCGGGGCUCAACCCCUUCCCGCCAUUGAAACUGGCGCUCUUGAGUGGAAGAGAAGUAUGCGGAAUGCGUGGUGGAGCGGUGAAAUGCAUAGAUAUCACGCAGAACCCCGAUUGCGAAGGCAGCAUGCCGGCUUCCGACUGACGUUGAAGCACGAAAGCGUGGGGAUCGAACAGGAUUAGAUACCCCAGUAGUC